GAUAAACGAAGACAACGUUCAAAUCACACGACAGUUUUAUUGAUGGUAGCUAAAAAUAGGGAUCGAUUUAAAAACAAAAAAUAAAAAAGAAAGAAGAGGAAUAAAAAAAAAAAGAAAAGGAAAAAAGCAAUUUUUCCCGAUAACGUCUCACUAUAUAUUGCGCCAUUAUAUGAGAUGAAGCCUCAAAUGGUAGAGUCUCGUUUUAAUAUCCUCAACCACCAGACACGGUUAUCGUAUUAUCGUUUAGCUUUCUAAUGGAUAUCGAACAGCGAUAUGAGGAAAUUCUCAAGAGAUUUUAUGUUACUCUUUAAUGAAAGUAAAAAGCUUUUAAUUUCCGAUUAAAUAAUUAUAAAAAUGUGAAUAAUCAAUAUAUAUAAAUAUAAAAAGAAAAGAACAAAAAAAAAACUAGAUUCGUCAUAGUGAGAACGUUGUACGACGCAACCAAACGAAAUCGAUGAAUUUUCGAGGAAAAAAGUUAACGCACGCAUACAUAGAGAAACGAUUAAAGAUCGAUGUAUAGGAUCUUUUAUGAAUCAUUAUGAUAUCACAUUGGGUUAUCGAACGACUGUCAUACUACUACUAUUACUACUACUACUACUACUAAUAGUAAUAGAAGUAGUAGUAGUAGUAAACUCCACCAGUAAGUAAAGCUUAGAACGAGAAAUUAUUUAAAAGUAAAAUGGAUGCGAAACAUAACCUACAAACUUUCUACUCUUCUAUGUACAUGACCGACGCCGUUAUAGUCCUUCUAUCUGUACAUAUAUGUACAUGUAUCGUACGAUGAAUAAAAUUAUUAUUAUUAGACGACGCGAAAUAAACGUCAAAAGCAUAAAUUUGUUAUAGGAUUAAAAUAACAUGAGUCAUCUAAUCAUAAAUAAAGAACAAAAUAAUUUACAUCGGACUUGAUGAGAAAUAAAUAUGACGACUAUGACGACAAUGACGACAAUGACGACGACGACUAUAUUCACGAGAAUAUUCUACGAUACGUGAUAAAUUAUUCGAACGAACGUACUCGUAUACGCGAAACACUUUGAUAUAAGAUAUAGAGACAUAGAAAAUAAUAGGCCAAGAUCACAAACACAGCAAACGCGAUGGUUACAAUUGGUUACCUUCCUUUUGAUCAUUCGAACAACAUGGCACACGUGUAAUCACGGAAAUUUAUGUAAGUCAUUCGAUCGGGAGAAAAAAAAAAA